rnacentral:rRNA from 1 species
UACGUAGGGUGCGAGCGUUAAUCGGAAUUACUGGGCGUAAAGAGCGCGCAGGCGGUCGUUCAAGUCGAGUGUGAAAGCCCCCGGCUCAACUGGGGAGGGUCACUCGAUACUGAUCGACUUGAAGGCAGGAGAGGGAAGCGGAAUUCCCGGUGUAGUGGUGAAAUGCGUAGAGAUCCGGAGGAACCCCAGAGGCGAAGGCGGCCCCCUGGCUCGUACCUGACGCUCAGCCACGAAAGCAUGGGGAGCGAACGGG